AAUUAACUGCUAAUUCAAUUAUUUAACUAACCAGAUCAGAAGUACCAGAAAACAUACUUUGACUAUUUAUGAAAAUGAGAUGGACGGAGAAUAUAAAUGCAGAGCAGUAGCGGAGAGAUUGAAUGGAAAAGAAGAAAUCAGUAAACAGUUUAUCAAAUAUAUAAUAGAGGAAGAGAUGCGAACCAGGAGUCACAACUCCAUUAACGGACACAAUGCUUCACCACCGACACAAAGCUUCCCUUUAAAAAAAGGUACGUCUGAUCUCAACCCUUGGAUUAAAAGAU
rnacentral:lncRNA from 1 species